ensembl:misc_RNA Metazoa_SRP Metazoan signal recognition particle RNA
CCCAGGCAUGUGGCACAUGUCUAUAACCCUUGUUCCCAGAAGGGCUAUUUUGCAGAUCUCUUGAGCUUAGGAGUUCUGAACUGCAGUGAGCUAUGCAUAUUAAGUGUCCAUACUAAGUUUGGCUUCAAUAUGGCAACCUUCUGGGAGUAAGAGGAUAACCAAGUUGCCUAAAAGUGGGCAAACCAAUCCAGGUUGAAAUCAGAGUGGGCCAAAACUCAUGUGCCGAUCAGCAAUGCAAAUAGAUUUUUGAAUAGCACCUGCACUUCUAGCUUUUGGUGAGAUGGGGAGAUCCAGCCUUU